CUUCUAAUAACUACUAUGAGCAAGCCAAGAUCCAGCUGUACCCAAAUAGAAAAGGAGAGGCCUUUAUUUCUUAAGUAUCAAUGACAUCAUCAAUAGUAAGCAAUUAUCACCUUCAACGGGACUGAGGCAGGCAGUGAGUACACCAUGGAAAGGAAACAGUGAGAGCAGUUCAGCUAGGAAUGCCCACUUGCAUCUGUGAGCACACUAAUACAUGUGACAGCACAAGAGGCAGG